rnacentral:sRNA from 1 species
CGGAGGGCAAGAGGUUCGACCCGAGCGAAGCGAGAAAACGUUGCGUCAGCAACGGCCCGCAGGGCGAGCCACGCAGUGGCAAGUCAUCCUCUGUCACCGGCAG